UAGAAACCUUCAGUAAAGGUUCAGUAAAGAAGAUAACAGAAGAGACUCAAUGAUUAUCAUAGAAACUGGGGUCAGCAUCAAUAAGGAUCCCUGGCGUGACUUCAUUUCUUGAACUUCAGCGUAAGAGAGACACUACCAAAUCCAGCUGUGGAUUGCACCAAGUCAUGGAGUAGGCGCAGGGAUUUCUAAUGCCUGGGACUGUUGGUGCUAAGAUCAGUCAUAUUGCGCUGUAAUGACUCUGUGGAUGAAGCCUCUUAACCUGUGUGUGUGUGAAAUCUGGGGUGGCUGAUGCUAUCCAAGUCAUCUCAGUGACUGCACCUAUUGUAUGGGCUGUAACUUAAAGCAGAUCUUGACUUCAGUGUAGUUUUCAGAAGAAGACAUGUUUACAGCAGACUGUGCUGCAGACCCUGCAGACUGUGGAAACCUACAGGCCUUAGGCUAUGAACAGCACAGGUGGAGGAAAARCUUUAUAAGAAGGUGAGAUAGUCAGAGUCUCCACAUUCACACACUCCUUACAAUGAUAUCUUAAAGGUUGUUUCUUACCUCUCUCUAAAUUAUUUGCUCUGGACAACUGGUGGGGAUAUUUUUUUUUCCCUUCAUUUCAGGCCUUAUUUCCAAGGAAGAGUCUUCGAAGACAUUCAGUGUGAGCAGACUUAUUAGCUACUGUACACUAGGCCAAAUAAAUACUUUUGGUGAUAUAUAUUAUGUAUAAAUACAAGGUUUAAAUUCAAAUAUAUAAACCAGACAAAUUGAUUUUCCUUAAGACAGAAAUAUUACURUUCUUUACUGUGUGUAUUUUCAUGUGAUUUUAGAUAUCAGAUCUGCUUGGAACCACCUGCCCUAUUGGUGAGUCUGUUGUCAAAUAGGACAAUUUUAGUAUUAGAUUAAUUAUUAUGAAGUCUUUGACUUCCAAAAAGCACCUCCUUCUCCUGAUAAACAAUAGUUCCAAAGAAGAAUUUGGGAUUUAUGUGUCUUUUCAUAGGUAGUAUUUUGAAGGGAACAUGAACUAAAGAAGUAAAAAAAUMGGAGAUAACAAAUGUGACCAAACACCAGCAAGUGGCAGGGACAUCGGAUGUGGAGCAGUGCCAGUGGCCUGGAUCUUGUUGGAUCCCAGUCUCACCACAGAGAUCAGAUCAGAGAGCCACCGAGGGGCUGAGGUUGGAGACCAUCUAGUCCAGCCC